rnacentral:misc_RNA from 1 species
GAUGAAGAACGUAGUGAAAUGCGAUAAGUAGUGUGAAUUGCAGAAUUCAGUGAAUCAUCGAAUCUUUGAACGCACAUUGCGCCCCUUGGUAUUCCAUGGGGCAUGCCUGUUCGAGCGUCAUUUGUACCUUCAAGCUCUGCUUGGUGUUGGGUGUUUGUCUCGCCUCUGCGUGUAGACUCGCCUCAAAACAAUUGGCAGCCGGCGUAUUGAUUUCGGAGCGCAGUACAUCUCGCGCUUUGCACUCAUAACGACGACGUCCAAAAGUACAUUUUUACACUCUUGACCUCGGAUCAGGUAGGGAUACCCGCUGAACUUAAGCAUAUCAAAAGCGGAGGA